UCGGACACAUGAAUGCGCAACAGCAUGCGCGCCCAGGGCUGAUCGUGCAAAAGUCGUGCCA
rnacentral:sRNA from 1 species